UGGAAAGGAGGGAGCCGGGAAGGUUCUCUCGGCGUUUCCCCGGUUUUGAGCUCCGAUCCAGCCUGUUCCCACGUUGAACGACGGCCCUGCAAAGUGGGAGGGCGGUGUAACGGUAACGUCUAAAUUGGGGACAGGUGGUUAGAUGGGGGAGGAGGGGGGAAAGUACAUCGUUUCUCUUCCCGUCGGUCGGUGCUGCCCGGCCCCAUUUCAGACGUUACCUUUAUACACGGGAGAAGCAAAACGAUGGUGAGCCGAAAAUACACCGAGGGAAGAAAUGUGAGUCCUUGUUUCCCUUUGAAAGAGAGCGCGCGUUAACAGAUCUUUUAAAGAUUUGUAUCUGCUUUCACCACUCGCAGUGGAAUAAAACUAUCAUAGGGGAAAGUACGCUAUAAUUUGAGAUUUCCACAAACCCAGACAUUUUUUGUAGCAUUUGGCAUUCAUUCCUUUGUCACGUAGGCAGGACAACCUUCAUUUUGAAGACAAACAUGGACACAAGCCUGCCAAAUCUGAACUUCACGACAGUCAAAUAACACUAAAUGUAUUCUCUGGGUGUUGUUGUUUUUUAACUGUGAAAACAGUUUUUUCUUUCAUGAAUUGGACUUUGUUACUUAAGCUGCAGAAGUAAAUGUACAUAUUCUAUGUGCUGAUGAUUUUUUUUGUUAGUUGUCAUCAGUUCUUCUGUUUUUUGUAUACAUUAUAAAAUGCAAUAAAAUAUCUUUACAAAAAACAACCACUCUCCACGUUUAUGUCCCUAACACCGUUUCCUGCAACCCACAUUCGCUUGUUUCCUUCCCUUCCUCCUGGCUUUGCCUUCUAGCCUGAUAUAAUCCUGGGAACUGUAAUUUGUGAAGGGUGUUGGUGGGAAUCGUAGCUCUAUGGCUCCCGGGAGCCUUGGGGAGGAGGAAGGCAUGCACUUUAAAUAUAUGGUGUGUGUCAGUGACAUGACCUAAUAAAGGAGUUUGGAAAUGUUCACAAAGCAU